rnacentral:rRNA from 1 species
GAUGAACGCUGGCGGCGUGCCUAAUACAUGCAAGUCGAGCGAAUGGAUUAAGAGCUUGCUCUUAUGAAGUUAGCGGCGGACGGGUGAGUAACACGUGGGUAACCUGCCCAUAAGACUAGGAUAACUCCGGGAAACCGGGGCUAAUACCGGAUAACAUUUUGAACCGCAUGGGUCGAAAUUGAAAGGCGGCUUCGGCUGUCACUUAUGGAUGGAACCGCGUCGCAUUAGCUAGUUGGUGAGGUAACGGCUCACCAAGGCAACGAUGCGUAGCCGACCUGAGAGGGUGAUCGGCCACACUGGGACUGAGACACGGCCCAGACUCCUACGGGAGGCAGCAGUAGGGAAUCUUCCGCAAUGGACGAAAGUCUGACGGAGCAACGCCGCGUGAGUGAUGAAGGCUUUCGGGUCGUAAAACUCUGUUGUUAGGGAAGAACAAGUGCUAGUUGAAUAAGCUGGCACCUUGACGGUACCUAACCAGAAAGCCACGGCUAACUACGUGCCAGCAGCCGCAGUAA